rnacentral:piRNA from 1 species
UCCAGUCAAGUUGAGGUCUGAAAUCCGGU